UACGGAGGAGGCAAGCGUUAUCCGGAUUUACUGGGUUUAAAGCGUGCGUAGGCGGGCAUGUAAGUCUGCGGUGAAAGACCGGAGCUUAACUUCGGAACUGCCAUUGAUACUAUAUGUCUUGAAUAUUGUGGAGGUAAGCGGAAUAUGUCAUGUAGCGGUGAAAUGCAUAGAUAUGACAUAGAACACCGAUUGCGGAGGCAGCUUGCUACACAAAUACUGACGCUGAGGCACGAAAGCGUGGGGAUCAAACAGG
rnacentral:rRNA from 1 species